AUGAAUCUCCAUUUUUGUUUGUAAAGAAGCAAAUGGCUGGCACUGUGAUUUUUCAGAGGGAGGAUAUUGAACAGCCAGCAUGAACGGUUGUCGUAUCUAGGUCAAAUAUGUCAAUUUCGGAAUGCAACACAUUACAGUCAUAAUAAAUGAAUAAGUAACAUCAUGUGCACCAUUUAAGAGUUUGAAAGUGUUUUAAAGUUAAUGAAAUAUAUU
rnacentral:lncRNA from 1 species